CAGGAGGAUCGAUGUGAGUCUGCUAGGAAAUAUAUUUACCACUAAAUCACCUCAGUGUGCUACCAUUGCAAAAAAGAUACAGGUUUUCCAUCAUAAUGAAAUUUCCCCCAAACAUCC